rnacentral:rRNA from 1 species
CCUACGGGUGGCAGCAGUGGGGAAUAUUGCACAAUGGGCGCAAGCCUGAUGCAGCCAUGCCGCGUGUGUGAAGAAGGCCUUCGGGUUGUAAAGCACUUUCAGCGGGGAGGAAGGCGGUGAGGUUAAUAACCUCAUCGAUUGACGUUACCCGCAGAAGAAGCACCGGCUAACUCCGUGCCAGCAGCCGCGGUAAUACGGAGGGUGCAAGCGUUAAUCGGAAUUACUGGGCGUAAAGCGCACGCAGGCGGUCUGUCAAGUCGGAUGUGAAAUCCCCGGGCUCAACCUGGGAACUGCAUUCGAAACUGGCAGGCUAGAGUCUUGUAGAGGGGGGUAGAAUUCCAGGUGUAGCGGUGAAAUGCGUAGAGAUCUGGAGGAAUACCGGUGGCGAAGGCGGCCCCCUGGACAAAGACUGACGCUCAGCUGCGAAAGCGUGGGGAGCAAACAGGAUUAGAUACCCGAGUAGUC